GGAUUCCCCUAGUAACUGCGAGUGAAGAGGGAAAAGCUCAAAUUUAAAAUCUGGCAGCUUCGCUGUCCGAGUUGUAAUUUAGAGAAGUGUUACCCGCGCUGGACCGUGUAUAAGUCUCCCGGAAUGGAGCGUCAUAGAGGGUGAGAAUCCCGUCUUUGACACGGACUACCAGGGCAUUGUGGUGCGCUCUCGAAGAGUCGAGUUGUUUGGGAAUGCAGCUCUAAAUGGGUGGUAAAUUCCAUCUAAAGCUAAAUAUUGGCGAGAGACCGAUAGCGAACAAGUACCGUGAGGGAAAGAUGAAAAGAACUUUGGAAAGAGAGUUAAACAGUACGUGAAAUUGCUGAAAGGGAAACGCUUGAAGUCAGUCGCGUUGGCCGGGGAUCAGCCUUGCUUUUGUGAGGUGUACUUCCUGGUCGACGGGUCAGCAUCAGUUUCGACCACUGGAGAAAGGCUUGGGGAAUGUGGCACCUUCGGGUGUGUUAUAGCCCCUUGUUGUAUACAGUGGUUGGGACUGAGGAACUCAGCACGCCGCAAGGCCGGGUUUCGACCACGUUCGUGCUUAGGAUGCUGGCAAAAUGGCUUUAAGCGA
rnacentral:rRNA from 1 species